rnacentral:lncRNA from 1 species
AUUUCUGAUUACAAGUUACUUAGACAACAGGUUUCCACUCCUGACUUCUGGAGGGGUGUGUGCGUGUGUGCGUGGCUCUGGUAGCGGAUGUGCUGUGUUCUCCUCCAUCCUCCCUCCCUCCCACUCAGGUGUUGUAUUUCCCAGACGACGCGUGCACUGCAGCAGUAGGGAAGAGGGGAGAUUUCAGUGUUGUGACACGUUUCUGUGAGUUCUCAUCCUAACAGACAGAUGGUGGGGGUGUGCUUUCUCUGCAGAUGACAGAGUGCCUCCUACUCUCACAUUUGCAUUUUCAAACAGGAAAGUAAAGGUAAUUUCUAGGCUUUGCCAACAGAGCCCUGUUUAAGAAGGGUGUUCAUAUGAUCCGUGUUGAGCCAUAGUAAAAAAAUUACAUAUGAACAAAAAACCCUCACUGCCAUUUUUAAGGGUUUCCCUGGAGUGAGCUGAUCUCUUGCUUUUUUUUUUUUUUUGACUUUAUGAAUGUAUUUAGGAAUCACUGAUACCCAUGAGUAUUAUUUAAUCAUCUUACCACCUGUCUUUUAUCAUGUCUUAAAAUAAUCUAAAAUACAGCAGUGUAGAAAAAGUGUUAAUAGGAAUUAAGUAGUUAUAAGAGAUUACUGUGGAGUCAGAAUCACUUGAGGAAGUCGCUAAAAACUUUCUCUGCAUCUGUUUCCUCAUCUGAUGGAUAUAAAGUAUUUAUCUGUCAUAUGCCUAAACUAUAUUAACUAUUCCAGAAGUGGAGGUAUUCCUAAAGGAUCAUAUUGCUACCAACCUGAAGGAGAUAUUCUUUUAGUUUAACCAAGGACUUCUUACCAUGUCUAGCCAAAGGAAUCGUCUCAUCCAGUCAGUGUUCAUCCCUGGAGUCCAGAGUCAACUGGGGAAGCCUGUUUCCCUGGCACAGCCAGCUGUCAAGGCUCCGACUUAGUGAAGUGUUAAUCUUAGAUUCGAACUGUUUAUCUAGGAGUCCACAGGCUUAUCCUUAAUCACUUCCAGUUUCCCUUCCAACUCAAAAUAUAUUUACACUACCCAAGCCUGUUUUUGUUAGGUGUGGCCAGGUACCUGGCAUUGGCUAGAGACAGGCAAGCAACCUGGAACAUGUCAUUUGUAGAAAGAAGCUAUCAGAAUCAUAUGUGAACAUAUUCCCUGGCCAUUGGCAGUGAGGGUGGAGGAGGGUAGCAAUGGCAGCUGCACUCCAAAGCUUGGAUUUGAAAGUGAAGACAAGAGAGCUCUUCGCACUGACCAGUCAUGACUGUGGAGUGAAACUGAUAGACAGGGUUUGCUGGGUAGAGAAGGGCUGCUGUCCUAGUCCAUCCUGACAGAUAUUCCUUUGGAUUUAUUUUCCUUUAAACUAUCAGAGUGGUUUUUGGCAUUGAUGCAUAAAACAUGUACAUAAUUCUGAAGAAAGUGAUUUUAAAUGCCCAUUUUGUUGCAUUUUUGUGUAUAUAAUGUUACUGAGUGGGGAAGAUAAUUAGGAGUAAUUUGUGUUUUAUUUUUUAUUUUUUUGGAAUAAGGCUUAGUUCUAUUUCUCACAGAGGAAAUAGGUAUGCUGAGAUGGUUAGCAGAGCUUUCUUUGAGGGAAUCAAUAGCAGUAGCAGAGUCAGACCUGGGCUGCUCAGCAGCGAGAGAGAUCUACUCACAGGAAUGCCUUCUUCAGAGAGAAGGUAAGAGUCAGGCCAGGCCUGGGCCUCUGGGUGGACCAGGUCUCCCUAAGCCCCACCGUCACGUUCCAGCUACAGAUAAUGAUGCAUAGUUGUUUGUUCAGGGCCUUAAAUGAUGCUUACUAAGGAGGUGGAAGUCAUUGUCGUUUCUUUAAAUGUCUUCGAAUUUUAAAAAUACAAUGUUUAACUUGUGACAUCCUGUAGCUGGUGUUUGCUACUUUGUGGGUUCCUCUUUCUCCUUCUCCACCUCUUUCCUUCCACCCCUUCAAUCCCCUCACACUAGAUAGGAGAGAAAAAAGGAUGGAGGGAAAGGACAGAGAUCCCUGAUAAAGUCAGGGGCUGGAAAGGGGUGACACUGUUGUUAGACUACUUUCUGCUGGUUAGGGGUGUUGAGAUCCUUGGGGCAAGUUUGAUCUUCGCCAUCAGGAUAUCUAAUUUCUUCUUGUUGUUUCUUCCUUACACAUGACUAUUUAACAAACUGUGACCAACAAUAACCACCAAACAACCAAACAACCAACCACCACCAACAUAACACACCUCUUGGGGCCCUAGCAUUUAUAUAUUUCCUCUGAAAAGUCCUCAGAAUUCAAAAUGUCACACAAUCACAAAAACUGUCUGCGGCUGGCAAAAUCACACUCCUGCUAGAGCAUGGGGCGAAUCAUAGUCAGCUGCUGUGGAAAGAUAUUUUGCUGCUGUGGACAUUCUGCUGCUGUGGACGGUCUGCUGCUGUGGACGGUCUGCUGCUGUGGACGGUCUGCUGCUGUGGACGGUCUGCUGCUGUGGACGGUCUGCUGCUGUGGACGGUCUGCUGCUGUAACAGUUUGUGCUCCCGGAUUUAAGUCAUUUUGUUUGGUAUUUCUUAAUAAAUAUUUUAUUUCACCUAAUUAUUUCACUUGAGUGUCUAAAACUACUUUAUGGAAUACUUAAAUUAUUUAGAUGAGAAAGAGAUUAAUUACCUCCCAUAGACAAAUUCAAAUUAAUUUCAUUGUAAACCUGAGGUAAAAAUAGAUUAAUCUUAGAACAGAGGCAACUGGCUCACUUUCUUUCUAUUUCUGCUCUCUCUGUCUCUCUCUCUGUCUCUCUGUCUCUCUCUGUGUCUUUCUCUCUCUCUCUCUCUCUCUCUCUCUCUCUCUAUCUUUCUCUCUCUGUCUCUCUGUGCCUGUCUCUCCCUGUGUCUUUCUGUCUCUCUCCUGUCUCUCUCUCUCUGUGUCUUUCUCUCUCUCUCUUUCUCUCUCUGUCUCUCUGUGUCUUUCUCUCCCUGUGUCUUUCUGUCUCUCUCCUGUCUCUCUCUGUGUGUUUCUCUCUCUCUCUCUCUCUCUCUCUCUCUCUGUGUGUGUCUUUCUCUCUGUGUGAAUCUUUCUCUCUGUGUGUGUCUCUCUGUCUCUCUGUGUGUGUCUUUCACUCUCUGUGUCUCUGUGUCUUUCUCUGUCUCUCCCUGUCUCUGUUUCUUUGUUUCUCUCUGUUUCUCUCUGUCUCUCUGUCUCUCUCUGUCUUUCUCUCUCUGUCUCUCUUUCUUUGUCUCUCUCUGUCUGUCUCUGUUGUUUUUUCAUUUUUAAGGAGAGCGGCCUGUUGACUUUAUGGAUCCCUCCUCAUUGCAACAGAUAAACCAAUAAAAGCCGGAAAAAAAAAAUCUUUUUUUUUUAAAAGCAAAACCAAAAAACAUUUAAAUGGAUUUUAUAAACCAUCCAGAAACCUGUGUGUCUGGGGCUUCUGAGGGACUAGCCUGUGAGUCAUUUUAACAAAUACACUCAUAAUCCCAUAGUGCAUGUGGUUUCCAUGGUAAUUAGGCCUGUUGAGCUGCCUUGAUUAUGUUCCUGCACAGGGAAGAAGGGGAGAAAAACUGUGAACUGUGAGCUUUGACCGUCGGCUUCAGCCUGCUACUGCGGGAGAGAGUUUAGGGGUUUCCCUUGAAGACACUGGCACAGUCAUCCUGGAGGGAAGUGGAGAGACUCUGGGACUAAUGGCCUAUUAGUGUUGGGGAUUGCAGUUCACAGGGGAGAAAAGGACUGAUCGGUACUCUCCUAGGGGGAGGAAAGGACAAAUGGUUUCUUUAGCUAAUAUAUAAUUACAGGUAAGUCUCUAAGGUCAACCUGAUGAAAUGCUUUGAGUGUUUGUGCACAGGGCUCUAAUGGUCUCUUAAAAGGCACCGAACACCUCUGGCAUAUCAUUAUUGCAGAUUUAAAUGAUUCUCCCUGUACUACCCAGUUAGAGGUUGGUUUUAUGUCUCUCAUCUGAUUCAUAUAUGGACCUGUAGCUUUUCAUUAUUUAUGGACUGGAUUUGACUCCUUUAUAUUGGGCAACCAUCUUAUGAUGCAGGCCCAUGGGUCUCUAAGGAGACCACUGAAGUUACAGGAGUUCCUCUAAAUCUGCCAUUGCUCCUAAGGAAACAAAAAUCAAAGCAUACAUUGGUUUGAUGGACAUCCAAGAUGUCCCAGGCCUCAACCAAUUAGUGGCAUUUUAUAGAUGUCACUUGUUUCAGUUCUACUGAAAGGGGCAGCAGAGCCAUGGGCCAAAGGUAUGAGGCCACACACAGAACUUUCCAAUUCUCUUUCCCGAGGCUGGGCAUCCUCUCACGUAUGUGACUGUCAUGUAUUGGCUGAAAUUUUAUUCUUUAGACCAUGCCUCUUUAAGGCAGAGUUUACUUGGAGUUCUAUUAAAAUUGAAAUGAAGUGAAGUUGCUUGAUUUAUGCUCACUACGACAUUUUUGGUUCUAAACUACAUAUCUAUCUUACUCUCAAAAGUAGAAGUAAUUAUUACCCAAACAUUGUUCUAGAUUUGAUCGUCUUAACAUUAGUAAAUAAAGCUUGAGUUGGGCCAUUAAGAUGGCUUGAGGGGUAAAAGCAUUUGCUGCUCAAAAAUGAUGACCUGAAUUGGACCCCUAGCUGGAAAGAGAACUGACUCUCAAGUUGUCCUCUGACUUUCCCAUGUGUGCUGUGGUGUGCAUGUCCAUCUUCACACACUUACACACACACACACACACACACACACACACAUGCACACACAAACGAAAACCU